GCCUAACACAUGCAAGUCGAACGGCAGCACAGAGGAGCUUGCUCCUUGGGUGGCGAGUGGCGGACGGGUGAGUAAUGCAUCGGGAUCUACCCUGACGUGGGGGAUAACCUCGGGAAACCGGGACUAAUACCGCAUACGUCCUACGGGAGAAAGCGGGGGACCUUCGGGCCUCGCGCGGCAGGACGAACCGAUGUGCGAUUAGCUAGUUGGCGGGGUAAUGGCCCACCAAGGCGACGAUCGCUAGCUGGUCUGAGAGGAUGAUCAGCCACACUGGGACUGAGACACGGUCCAGACUCCUACGGGAGGCAGCAGUGGGGAAUAUUGGACAAUGGGCGCAAGCCUGAUCCAGCAAUGCCGCGUGUGUGAAGAAGGCCUUCGGGUUGUAAAGCACUUUUAUCAGGAGCGAAAUACCACGGGUUAAUACCCUAUGGGGCUGACGGUACCUGAGGAAUAAGCACCGGCUAACUUCGUGCCAGCAGCCGCGGUAAUAC
rnacentral:rRNA from 1 species